rnacentral:misc_RNA from 1 species
AACUUUCGACAAUGGAUCACUUGGUUCUGGCAUCGAUGAAGAACGCAGCGAAAUGCGAUAAGUAGUGUGAAUUGCAGAAGUCAGUGAAUCAUCGAAUCUUUGAACGCACAUUGCGCCCCUUGGUAUCCCGAGGGGCAUGCCUGUUCGAGCGUCAUUUCACCACUCAAGCCUAGCUUGGUGUUGGGCGACGUCCCUUUGGGACGCGCCUCGAAACGCUCGGCGGCGUGGCACCGGCUUUAAGCGUAGCAGAAUCUUUCGCUUUUAAGGUCGGGGCCCCGUCUGCCGGAAGACCUACUCGCAAGGUUGACCUCGGAUCAGGUAGGGAUACCCGCUGAACUUAAGCAUAUCAAUAAGCGGAGGCU